UGCAAUCCUCAUCUCUACACAGCCGAACGCACAACAGUGGACCAGUCCAGCCAUCACCGUCACCAACACGAGAUACCGACCGCGCAACCCUUGUCCUCCAGUCGGGCAACCUAUAGCGACGAGAUCGCCGACGUCGGGGUGGCCCUCUCCCACGACAGAUGAGUGAAAAGAAGAAAAAUGAGACACCCACUGACGCGUGACGACCCAGCGCAUGGCGGCCACACCAUCCGUGGCUUCUUCGUCCGCCAUUGCUCAGCAAGUGCGCGAGGCAGCAGCGUACCUCAACGGUGGCUAUUGACUCGCGAGAGGACCUGGAGCCCAGACUUUCUCGGCCUUUUCCAUAGUGUGACAUUCUCCACGAUCUCCUCACGGCCACUACGGUCAAGGCAGCAAUGUCGGCCAGGCUCGUGACGGCCGAAGGACCAGUCGCUCCUCACCAGUAGCAAUGAAGACAC
rnacentral:lncRNA from 1 species